rnacentral:rRNA from 1 species
AUACGGAGGGUGCAAGCGUUAAUCGGAAUUACUGGGCGUAAAGGGCGCGUAGGUGGUUAGGUCAGUCGGAUGUGAAAGCCCCGGGCUCAACCUGGGAAUGCCAUUCGAUACUGCCUAAAUAGAGUGUGGUAGAGGGAAGCGGAAUUCCGGGUGUAGCGGUGAAAUGCGUAGAUAUCCGGAGGAACACCAGUGGCGAAGGCGGCUUCCUGGAUCAACACUGACACUGAGGCGCGAAAGCGUGGGGAGCAAACAGGAUUAGAAACCCCGGUAGUCC